rnacentral:tRNA from 1 species
UACAUGGAGGACUAGUGGUUAGGCCUCGGUGCUCUCACCACCAUGGCCCAGGUUUGAUUCCUGGCCAGGGAA